rnacentral:rRNA from 1 species
UACGUAGGGAGCAAGCGUUGUCCGGAAUCAUUGGGCGUAAAGAGCGCGUAGGCGGUCCGGUAAGUCGGUUGUGAAAACUGGGGGCUCAACCCUCAGAGGCCGACCGAUACUGCCGGGCUAGAGUCCGGAAGAGGCGAGUGGAAUUCCUGGUGUAGCGGUGAAAUGCGCAGAUAUCAGGAGGAACACCUGUGGCGAAAGCGGCUCACUGGACCAUAACUGACGCUGAGGCACGAAAGCUAGGGGAGCAAACGGG